rnacentral:lncRNA from 1 species
AAAAACAUCAACAAGGGGUGUAUUCAUAAAAAAGGGAUGCUAAGACUAGGAUUUGACGGACUUAAGGCCCAGUCUAUAAAUCAAGGAAGACAGACGUGCAAAGGAGCGAGAAAAGGGGUGUGGAUAGUAGGAAAGGCCCAUGAGGCCCAAAAAGGGGGAAACCUGAAUUGAGGAAAUGAGUGAAGGGGUGGAUUGAAGGAGAUAUUCAUCCAUCAUUGUUGUUUUUUCUUAUUCUUAGAAUUCUCUCUCUCUCUCUCUCUCUCUCUCUCUCUCUCUCUCUCUCUCUC